UAGCCAGCCGGCGUCAUGGCCAACGAGGAGGCGUUAAUGUUCGCGCUGCAGCUGGCUUCGUCGGCUGUCCUGCCGAUGACGCUUCGCACUUGCAUCGAGCUGGGCUGCUGGAGACCCUUGUGGGCGCCGGUGGGAAGACGUUGACGCCGGAAGAGGUAGCGGCCAAGCUUCCGUCCAAAGCAGAGUCCAACCCGGACGCGGCGUCCAUGAUGGAUCGGUUGCUGCGGGUACUGUCAACAUACAAGGUCGUUUCGUGCCUAGUGGAUGAGUGUGCAGACGGGAGCCUGUCCCGCAGGUAUGGCGCUGAGCCGGUGUGCAAGUGGCUCACUCCCAACGAGGACGGUGUCUCCAUGGCGCCCUUCUGCCUCCUUGCCCAGAACAAGCUCUUCAUGGAGGCCUGGUGUCACAUGAACGACGCGGUCCUUGAUGAAGUUAAUUCAUUCGGUCAUCAUCACCAAGAAGCUACUUGAAUUGUAUACUGGUUUCGAUGGCAUCGACACCCUUGUGGAUCUCGCGGGCGGCGUGGGCGUCGUCAUCCACGCCAUCACCAAGAAGUACCCGAGCAUAAAGGGGAUCAACUUCGACCUUCCCCACGUAAUCUCCGACGCGCAGCCCUACCCCGGCGUCGAACACGUCGGCGGCGACAUGUUUGAGAUGGUGCCGUCCGGAGACGCCAUCCUCAUGAAAUGGAUUCUCCCCUGCUUCAGCGACGACGAGUGUGCGGUACUCCUCAAGAACUGCUACGACGCACUGCCCGCGCAUGGUAAGGUGAUCAACGUGGAAUGUAUCCUGCCAGUGAACCCGGACGCGACAAACAACGCGCAGGGGUUAAUCUGUGUGGACGCCAGCUUGCUGGCGUACAGCCCCGGCGGCAAGGAAAGGAACCUCAGGGACUUCGAUAAGCUAGCCAAGGCUGCAGGGUUUACAGGCGUCAAGGCCAGCUACAUCUUUGCGAACUUCUGGGCAAUGGAGUACACCAAGUAGAGUGAUCUAUCACUUCUACUGGGAGCCUGCUGCUGCUUUCUACCACCUCAUUUGCCAUAAAAAAAAUCACAAAAAAAAUUCCCUCCAUUUUGUUAGAU